GGUGGGUAUAGCUCAGUGGUAGAGCACAUGCUUACCAUGCAUGAGGUCCUGGGUUCAAUUCCCAGUGCCUCCA
rnacentral:tRNA from 1 species